UGCCUUGAUGGUGAAAUGGUA
rnacentral:tRNA from 3 species